rnacentral:rRNA from 1 species
GGGUCCGGACACACUGAGGAUUGACAGGCGUUUGUGGUUUAGCAUCUGGCUUCGGUUAGCUCUGCUUUUCUACUAUAAAUAUGCUAGUCCUUUCAUGAUUGUGUGAUAGGUGGUGCAUGGCCGUUCUUAGUUCGUGGAGUGAUCUGUCUGCUUAAUUGCGUUUCACAAAGAACUCUUUAACUUUUACCUGUUGCGCGUCACUGCGCUCUCUGAGACGGUGUCUGUGCACGGUAAAGAAAAAGUUCUGAAGGCAACGAACGUGACCGCAACCUCUUGUUGCCUCCUUUUUUCAAACAUGAGAGUACUGUCUUGCCUCGUGUGAGCUGUGCUUCUCUGCAUGGAGUGCUAACUAGAGGGACCGCUGACAACUUUUAAAACAGAGGAAGGUUGCGGCAAUAACAGGUCUGUGAUGCCCUUAGAUGUUCCGGGCUGCACACGUGCUACAAUGAUUAUUGCAGUGAGCAUCUAACUAAAAAAGCUCGAGUUUGUGUUUAGUUGCACUUGUGUAACUUUACAUAGCUCGGCUACUGACCUGCUUCGAAAGUAAGCAGGU